rnacentral:rRNA from 1 species
GCUCAACCGAGGAAGUGCUUCGAAAACUGGUAAACUUGAGUGCAGAAGAGGAAAGUGGAACUCCAUGUGUAGCGGUGGAAUGCGUAGAUAUAUGGAAGAACACCAGUGGCGAAGGCGGCUUUCUGGUCUGUAACUGACGCUGAGAUUCGAAAGCAUGGGUAGCAAACAGGAUUAGAUACCCUGGUAGUCCAUGCCGUAAACGAUGAGUGCUAAGUGUUGGAGGGUUUCCGCCCUUCAGUGCUGCAGCUAACGCAUUAAGCACUCCGCCUGGGGAGUACGACCGCAAGGUUGAAACUCAAAGGAAUUGACGGGGGCCCGCACAAGCGGUGGAGCAUGUGGUUUAAUUCGAAGCAACGCGAAGAACCUUACCAGGUCUUGACAUACCAUGAAAAGCUUAGAGAUAAGUCUUUCCCUUCGGGGACAUGGAUACAGGUGGUGCAUGGUUGUCGUCAGCUCGUGUCGUGAGAUGUUGGGUUAAGUCCCGCAACGAGCGCAACCCUUAUCAGUUGCCAGCAUUCAGUUGGGCACUCUGGUGAGACUGCCGGUGACAAACCGGAGGAAGGUGGGGACGACGUCAAAUCAUCAUGCCCCUUAUGACCUGGGCUACACACGUGCUACAAUGGUCGGUACAACG